GUUGAAUAAAAAAAUUAGACCAGUUAUAUUAUCUCUUCCCCCAUCUUCUUACCGACGACCAAGGUACCCACCCUUCGCCAUCUUCUCAUCGACGCCCCGGCGUCCCUCCAUCUCCUCCUCUUCCUUCGUCUCCCUUUGCUCCUACAUCCUUCUCAAUUUUAGCCCAAACAAUUGCUCUCUCCAACUAAAAUCAAUGACACCGACUCCAAUUUGAAGGCCUACAUACCUGACUAUAUGAAUCCCUACUGGAUCCAUUACAGAGCGGAACUUACAAUUGUUGACCUUCAUCGCCAGAUUCAAGGUGGUACAGAUUAUGUAAAGCAUGGUGGCCAAGUAGGAAAUGUGAUGAAUACUGAUUUGGAACCUGAAGAUUAAAAGCUUGAACUGGGAAACCUUGCUUUGAAGAAUAAGUCUGGAUGAAAAGAACGGGGAAAAGAUUGGAAGAAAUCAAGAGCCACACGGAAAAACAGUGAAGAAUUCUAGAUUUAUUAACCGAACAGUCGGUCUGAUUAUUUUGGUUUUUUUUUACUUUUAAAUAUUAAAUAAAAAGUUAACAGAGUUAUAUCUAUGUUAAGUUAAA